GCCAUCUGUAAAACACAGUGGAGGCUCUGUCAUGGUUUGGGGAUGCAGUUCAGCCAGUGGUGUUGGAGAUCUUGUUGAAGUUGAUGGAAUUAGGAACACAGAAAAGUAUCAUCAGAUUCUGAUCCAUCAUGCAACAGGUUUUUUUCUUUUUUUGUUUGGACCUGACAGUGAUAGCAAACCAAAUCAGUCAUGGACUCAACAUUAUGGAAGCAGUGCGCGAUCAUCCUAACAAGAGAACAGAACAAAAGGCAGGGAAUGGGAUCCAAAAAUACUUUGAUUCUAUCCCCAAAAGUUGAUACUGUUCAUCUUGAUGUAGCGUUUUCAGUGGGAGAAACGUUUCAUCACUCAUUCAAGUGAUUUCUUGAGUCUCAGCUGACUGCAGGUUUCCCCAGUCUUAUAAACAGAUAGAUCAAAGAUACUUUGAUUCUAAUAAAAUGCUGAAUUCUUUAAGUGUUUUCUGUUACAGGGACAAUACACUGCUCCAAAAAAAAAAAAAAAAAAGAUCAUGUGAUCACACCAGAGUUAUCAGUGUGUCCAGUUAUCAAACAGAAACCACUGUGGAUCCAGUUCACAUUCCUUGGUGCAAAAUGAAAGUGACAACAGAAUAAAAAAGGAAAUGGUUUGCAGGUGAUGGCCACAGACCACUGCUGGUGAUGAGAGCAGGUUCAGACUGAGCACAUGUGACAAAUGUGUGUGUCUGGAGACACCGUGGGAAACCUGCUGCCCCAACAUAACUGGAUCUGCCAGUGGUGAAUACCAGCUGCACAGCCCUGGUGUAACUGGACAGAAUGACCAACUGGCACAGAUGCAAACUACCUGCCUUCAAUGCAUCAAGACCCAGAUUAGGCUGGCAUUUAAACUACCAAUAAACAACCUCCAGUCCUCUGCAUUGUAACAACCCAUUGCACUCAAAAGACCUUUAACAUCAACACAAAAGAUAAAGUCAUCAUCCAUUUGGACGAAUGGAAUAAGAUCAUUCUCAAAAAUUUGAUUUCUGGAGGCAGGAGGUUUUUCUCACUGAGGCGACAGUCGCUUCCUUUGGCAUAUCUAAAUCUCAUCCUCAGUCAUUUAACUGUGCCUGAGUGAAUAACUGGGAGACAGAUGAGCUGCUAGAAGAUGGAUCUUCAAAGUCCCCAUCAUUACAAUGUCAUGCAUCUGGAGACAAGACACUCUCAUCAGCAUUUUUUUCAAAUAUUAUUAACAUUAAAACAGAAAAAAAAAGAAAACAAAAGGUAUAUGGAAACAUUUAUCGCAUUGAUAAACACCAAUCCAUAUUGAAAGAAAACCUUUUUUGUAACUAAGUAUAACAAACAAGAUGUUAAAAACUUUUCCUUAUUUCUAAAGAAACCAAACAUUUAUCAGUUAUACCAACUGGCUUUUAAAAAAACUCCAAAUCAAGUUCAAAAAAAGGUCUCCAAAUAUUUUCUGGCUUCCACUAUAUACAGUCCCAGUCAAAAGUUUAAGACCACUUGAAAAAUGGCAAAAAAUCAUAUUUUGCAUGGUUGGAUCUUAACAAGGUUCCAAGUAGAGCUUCAACAUCCAACAAGAAGAAAAGGGAGUGAGACAAAACAUUUUUUUGAGCAUGCAAACAGCGCUUAAACUGAAACAGGCUGUCUUACAGCUGCAUAAAAUGCAGUAUUUGUAGUGUGUUAUUCCGAGGCGUGAGUUCAGCAUCUGUGUUACAGCACAAGCUGAUUUCCAAUCCUCUGCUGAGAUGUCAGCUUCCAAAUAUACAUUCUAUGGAUUUAACUCAUGUUGUGAACUGAUAAGAAUCAAAUGUUACAAAAAAAUAAAAUAAAAUUGUGAAACAAUGUCUUUUGUUAAAAGCCAAAAUAAAACGUGGUCAUUUUUAAUUCAGCAGGUAUUAUAUGGAUUUAUAAAAAAUUAAAUGGAAUGCAGUCAUUUUUAAUGUAACCAGUUUAACUCAUAUGUUCAUUUUAAGUAGGUGUUUUAUGUUAAUACAAAGUAAUGAUAUUUAAAAUAUACUACAUAUUAUGCACUAAGCUCCCAGUUUCCCUUUCUCAGUGUCAAAUAUAAUAUGAACAUUCAUGAUAGUGUACUGGACUGCAUUAUGUUUAAAAGGGUUUCUAAUAUUUUAUUCUCCUGACUGACGUUCACUACCAGUUAAAGGUUUGGACACACCUUCUCAUUUAUUUUCACUUGUGCUACUUACUCCGAGUUUCUAUGGAAGCAAUAAGGGUGAACUUAGUAUUCCAGAGGACUGCACAAAGCCCUGUGAUGA